rnacentral:rRNA from 1 species
UACGUAGGGGGCAAGCGUUGUCCGGAUUUAUUGGGCGUAAAGAGCGUGUAGGCGGCCAGAUAGGUCCGUUGUGAAAACUCGAGGCUCAACCUCGAGACGCCGAUGGAAACCAUUUGGCUAGAGUCCGGAAAGAGGAGAGUGGAAUUCCUGGUGUAGCGGUGAAAUGACGCAGAUAUCAGGAAGAACACCCGUGGCUAAGGCGGCUCUCUAGUACGGUACUGACGCUGAGACGCGAAAGCGUGGGGAGCGAAACAGG